rnacentral:lncRNA from 1 species
AUGUACGUUAAAAAUAGAUUAGUGCCUUAUACGGGAAAGGGUGAGUUCUCCUGUGGGUGGACCAUUGAUUCUUUUUCCUUUUUUUUUAAUAAAUCCUAACUAUUCUUUAUUAUGGAUUAGAAACGGAUGUGUAGAAGAAACAGUAUACUGAUAAAGAGAAUAAAUUCCAAAGUCAAAAGAGCGAUCGGGUUGCAAAAAUAAAGGGUUUGUUAUCCUCUUGUAAUUAUAACGAAUAUC